CAGCCAGUACUUGCCAGAAAUUCUUGCAGCUCCUUCAUUGUUGCUGUCAGCCUCUUGCCAGCCUCCCUGACCAGUUUUCUUCUUGUCUUCUCAUCAAUUUUGGACGGACGCCCUGUUCUUGACUUCUCCUGACUGAUUUCUUUGAAUAAUGAGAUCCCUCUGAUGCUGUGGCACCUCUUUGCGGACCAUGGUUUGUGCUGGAUGAUGUGGCUACAAAAAUGUCAGGACAAGCCUACUAGAACAGCUGAACUUUAUCAGAGGCACUUUAAUUGGUUAAG